AUUGAACGCUGGCGGCAGGCCUAACACAUGCAAGUCGAACGAGUGGCGGACGGGUGAGUAAUGUCUGGGAAACUGCCUGAUGGAGGGGGAUAACUACUGGAAACGGUAGCAAAUACCGCAUACCAUCAGAUGUGCCCAGAUGGGUUUAGCUAGUUGGUGGGGUAACGGCUCACCAAUGCGACGAUCCCUAGCUGGUCCGAGAGGAUGACCAGCCACACGGGAACUGGGCCACGGUCCAAACUCCUACGGGAGGCAGCAGUGGGGAAUAUUGGGCAAUGGGCGCAAGCCUGAUGCAGCCAUGCCGCGUGUAUGAAGAGGGCCUUCGGGUUGUAAAGUACUUUCAGCGGGGAGGCGUUACCCACAGAAGAAGCACCGGCUAACUCCGUGCCAGCAGCCGCGGUAAUAC
rnacentral:rRNA from 1 species